GAUACGCGGGCCUCUCACUGUUGUGGCCUCUCCCGUUGCGGAGCACAGGCUCUGGACGCGCAGGCUCAGCGGCCAUGGCUCACGGGCCCAGCCGCUCCGCGGCAUGUGGGAUCUUCCCGGACCGGGGCACGAACCCAUGUCCCCUGCAUUGGCAGGCGGACUGUCAACCACUGCGCCACCAGGGAAGCCCUCCCCCAAAUAUUUUUAAGCCCUCUUGGGACGGGGAGACUGAACUGAGAUGGCCCUGGAGGCGCGUGGAGAAGGCUGAGUCACAGCCCCCAGCCCCGUCACAGUCCCGAGUUCCGCCACAGUCCCAAGUGGGGCCGGGUCAUUGGGGGUGCCUCCUAAAAAAUGGCUAAGUCCCCCUUUGGAGGCUGAGAUCAGCCCCGGUCGUCCAGGGAGUUCCGUGGACAGUGUCCCGGGCCCACCAGGCCAACCCCGGAUACUGAGCUGAGGUACACUGUUUGAGUGAGACCCAGGAGAGGUGGUGUCUAGGGGUCCAGGUCCGUCCAGGUCCGUCCAGGUCGCGCUGGUUGUCGGGCGCCACCUGGUGGCCUUUUUUUUUUUUUUUUUUUUUUUUAAAUAUAGUCCCCGGAGCUCCACUGAAGUGGGAUCCGACUGCCGAGCCCAAGGGCGAGUUCCAUAAGGCCGGCAGCGCCGUCUUCUGGGAUGCGACACUCUCUGCCUCCGAACACGGGCUCCUCUGAGGUUGUCUCUGCUGUAUUAAAGGAGAGGGGCAUCUGGGAACUGCAUGGCUGGCGCAUGGAAGUCCCCUCCACCAGCGAGGACUGACGAGGUGUUGUUGCAGGUGACCGGGGUAGGGCGCCCCGGACUCGGCUGCAUUCCCAUCUCGUGCCUGCUUGUCUGGAGUGCCUCCUGAGAAUUUUUCUAGGUCCCCCUCUUGGGGCCAGGAUCGCGCGGUGUACUGUUGCAUGAUGUGCGUCCAGAAAAUUUUCCCUUCUGAAGAGGGGACAGGGAGGCCGAGAGAGGGCACCCAAUGUCCAACUGCAGUUACACGGGGGGCCUGUUCUUGGACACUCCCCCCGUCCCCGAACCUUUGCAAGCCUCCCUCCAGUGGCAGGGACCAUCCCAGGCCAACCAGUGGGGUGCAGGGGUAGGUACCAUGGACAGGGUCCCCAGGAGAUGCUUGGUCAUCUGAAGUUGCUGGAAUCGGUUCCAAUUCUGCCUGGGGUGAGGGUGUGGUACUGGCCCUGGCAGGUGAAGGAGGUUCCAGUUAGAUGCCGUCGGGGCUUCAUUCCCAUGUGGGCCUUCCAAAAAGUUUCUUUUUUUUUUGCUUUUUUAUUGGGGUAUAGUUGCUUUACAAUGUGUUAGUUUCUGCUGUACAACGAAGUGAAUCAGCUAUAUGUAUACAUAUAUCCCCUCUUUUUUGGACUUCCUUCCCAUUUAGGUCACCACAGAGCAUUAAGUAGAGUCCCCUGUGCUACACGGCAGGUUCUCAUUAGUUACCUAUUUUAUGCAUAUUAGUGUAUAUAUGUCAAUCCCAAUCUCCAAAAAGUUUCUGUCUUCCUCAGAUGGCUGAAUCCUUAGGGGGCUGCAAGGGAGGCCUGAGGAGGUUGCUCUUGGGGUCAGCUGUCCUCAGCGGGACCCACUCACCACCUGUACCUCCUGAAAAUGUUUCCUGAGGGGAGGAAGGCCCCAGGUCAGGUCCCUAUACCAGGAGAACUACAGUCACAUGUGGGUCCUGUUCGCUGAAUCCACCACCUGAAACAUUUUCUAAGUCUCUCUGUAGUCACCAGUGAGCCAGCCAGAGAGGCCCUCCAGCUGCUGUGGGAGGAUGCCCGGAUCCUGUCCACAGCCCAGAUCAGGCCUGGUACUUGGAGGUGUCCCCCAAAACAUUUCUAAGUUCCCCCACCCAGGCUGUGACCAGCCCUGGCUGGACCUGGAGUCUGGAGAGAGCAUCCCUGUCUUGGUCGUGGGCUCACAUAGCCCCAGUUGUCAUAUUCGUCCCUUGAAAAUGUUUCCAAGUUCCCCUCAAGAAGGGGUCACCAGUGUGGGCUGGUGAGGGACACCUGAAGAGCAUACCUGGGCCUGGCUGUAGUCACAUAUGGGGCCUUGACAAACACGCCUUACCAAAUUUUUAUUUUACUUUAUUAAUUUUUAUUGGAGUAUAGUUGAUUUAAAAUGUGUUAGUUUCAGGUGUGCAGGCUUCUCAUUGUGGUGGCUUCUCUUGUUGCAGACCACAGGCUCUAGGUGCAUGGGCUUCAGUAGUUGUGGCAUGAAGGCUCAGUAGUUGUGGCUCACGGGCUUAGUUGUUCCACAGCAUGUGGGAUCUUCCCAGACCAGGGAUGGAACCCAUGUCCCCUGCAUUGGCAGGCGGAUUCUUAACCACUGUGCCACCAGUCCCUGGUUUGCUAAUUUUUUUGAGGAUUUUUGAAUCAAUAUUCAUCAGAGAUAUUGGUCUGUAGUUUUCUUUUCUUGUGGUGUCUUUAUCUGACUUUGGAAUCUGGGCAAUGCUGGCCUCAGUGAAUAAGUUAGGAAGUAUUCUCUCCUUUUAAAUUUUUUUUGAAGAAUUUGAGAAGUAUUGGUGUUAAUUCUUCUUUAAAUGUUUGCUAGAAUUUACCAGUCAAACUAUCUGGUCCUGGUCUUUUCUAUGUUGGGAGAUUUUUGAUUAAUGAUUUGUUCUCCUUACUAGUUGUAAGUCUAUUCAGUUUUUCUGUUUCUUCAUGAUUCAGUUUUGGUGUAUAGUGUACUUCUAGGAAUUUGUCCAUUUCAUCUAAAUUACCCAAUUUACUUGUGUAAAAUUAUUCAUUAUAUUCUCUUGUAAUCCUUUUAAUGUAAGAUCAGUAGUAACAUACACUCUUCCAUUUUUUAAUUUUAGUAGUCUGCAUCUUCUCUCAAUCUAGCUAAAUGUUUGUCAGUUUUGUUGAUCUUUUCAAAGACCCAAACUUGGUGUCAUUGAUUUUCUCCAUCGUUUUUCUUUUCUCUGUUAAAAAAAAACCUCUUUGUCUAGUAAGUCUGAUGUCUUGACUUCUUCAGGAAGAGUUUCUGUCAGUUUAUUUUGUUUCCUUGAGUGGGCCAUGUUUUUCGGUUUCUUUGCAUGUCCUCUUUUUGUUGUUGUUGUUAAAAAUUGGGGAUUUAACUAUUUUAUUUUUGAAAAUUUAUUUAUUUAUUUAUUUUUGGCUGCGUUGGGUCUUUGUUGCUGCACGCGGGCUUUCUCUAGUUGUGGCGAGCGGGGGCUACUCUUCGUUGCAGUGCGCGGGCUUCUCAUUGUGGUGGCUUCUCUUGUUGCAGAGCACAGGCUCUAGGUGCUCAGGUUUCAGUAGUUGUGGCAUGGGGGCUCAGUAGUUGUGACUGGCGGGCUUAGUUGCUCUGCGGCAUGUGGGAUCUUCCUGCACCAGAGCUCGAACCCGUGUCCCCUGCAUUGACAGGCGGAUUGUUAACCACUGAGCCACCAGGGAAGUGCCGAUAUGACUCUUUUAAUGUGAUAACUCUGGAAGUUAAAUUCUUUCCCUUACCUAAGGUUUGUAGUUUUUUUUUUUUUUAAUUGUAGAAAUCUGCAGUAGCCUAUUUUGAGACUUUUCCAAGCUAUUGUUGCAAACACCAUUCCUUGUCUGUGAUUACUGAAGUCUGUGUUUCUUUAGCUUGUGUUUAAUGUUUUGACAGUGUUUCUUUUUUAAAAUUAAAAAAAAUUUU